GUAGUGCUAGCUAGCUUGAGGAGUGGGCGGGAAAGAGAAGCAAGGCUACGCCUUUGGCUCGCUUCUACUACUUCUAAUAUCAGUUAUCAGACUCAGUAAAGCUCUCUUUUUUUCUUUCGGCAUUGCUAAAAUCAAUUAUUGACUUCAACUCAGUAAUGGGUAUCAAGGGUUUGACAAAGCUGUUGGCGGAUAAUGCUCCAAAAGCUAUGAAAGAGCAGAAAUUCGAGAGCUACUUCGGUCGUAAGAUUGCUAUCGAUGCCAGCAUGAGCAUCUACCAGUUCCUUAUUGUAGUUGGAAGAAGUGGAACUGAAAUGCUGACUAAUGAGGCUGGUGAAGUCACCAGUCACUUGCAAGGCAUGUUUAAUCGCACUAUUAGGCUUCUCGAGGCUGGAAUCAAGCCCCUCUAUGUCUUUGACGGGAAGCCUCCAGAUUUAAAAAAACAGGAGCUUGCUAAGCGAUACUCAAAGCGUGCUGAUGCUACUGAGGAUUUGGCUGCAGCUGUCGAGUCUGGUGUUAAGGAAGAUAUUGAGAAAUUCAGUAAACGGACAGUCAAGGUGACAAAGCAGCACAAUGAUGACUGCAAAAGACUUUUAAAACUCAUGGGAGUGCCUGUAAUUGAGGCUCCUUCUGAAGCAGAAGCACAGUGUGCUACGCUUUGCAAAUCAGGAAAGGUCUACGCUGUGGCUUCUGAAGACAUGGAUUCCCUUACUUUUGGAGCCCCUAUAUUUCUUCGCCAUUUGAUGGAUCCCAGCUCAAGGAAAAUCCCGGUUAUGGAAUUUGAAAUUCCAAAGAUCUUGGAGGGGCUAAACCUUAGCAUGGAUCAAUUCAUUGACCUGUGCAUCCUUUCUGGUUGUGAUUAUUGUGACAGCAUUCGAGGAAUUGGAGGACAGACUGCCUUGAAACUCAUCCGACAACACGGUUCUAUAGAGAGCAUACUAGAGAACAUAAACAAAGAAAGGUACCAAAUACCAGAGGAUUGGCCAUAUCAGGAGGCUCGACAGCUUUUUAAAGAACCAGCUGUCCUUACUGAUGAAGAGCAACUUGAUGUCAAGUGGACUUCCCCAGAUGAAGAAGGUUUGAUUACUUUUCUGGUGAAUGAAAAUGGGUUCAACAGUGACAGGGUGACGAAGGCAAUAGAGAAAAUCAAAGCUGCCAAGAACAAGUCCUCACAGGGCCGAUUGGAAUCAUUUUUUAAGCCAGUUGCCAACACAUCUCAACCUGUUAAGCGGAAGGAAGCCGAGAAGACCAGUAAAGAAACUAGCGCUAAAAAAUCGAAGGGUGGUAGUGGUAAAAAGAAGUAAUCGGUUGGCAUAAUUAAAUCCAUAUUAGAUGGAUUUGACCGCAUUUGACGUUCUAAUCAGGUUACUGAUCUUCACAUCAGAGAACAUCUUGUUUCUAGCAGGACGCAUGCAAUUCCAAAUUUUUCCGAGAAUGAUUGGCAGUUUUGUAACUAUGGAUCUAUGAAUUUUUAUUUCCCCCCCCCUUCCUCGUCUGCAUAGUUCUUGGGCAGAUUCAUGGGUCUUACGACCAUUUAAUCUGAAAACCUUUGCUUUCGGCAUGUGUUAUAAAAUUGAAAUGGUCUCACAAGAAA